rnacentral:lncRNA from 1 species
CUGGAAAGGAAAUAGAGAUGCUAUUGUUCUAAUAGUUCAUUAUGCGAAUAGAAAAACUGAGACACAAAGAAAAAGUAACUUAGCUAAAGCUUUCAGUUAGUACAAAGUCAAAACUAAAACUAAGCUCCCUGAGUUCUUCACAGUGCUAUUUCUAUCACAUUGUGAAACUGAAGCGUCAUCUUCUCUUCCUGAGAAGACCAGUUUGCUAAUGCAAAGAGGGGACAAGACUUUCACAGCCCAAGGAGACUCUACCCAAACGUAAUGACUACACACGUCUGGAGCAGUGCCAGGAGCCAGCCCCAAACAAGAGCUCAUGUGACCAGUCUUCCUAAGUAGAGCUGAGCCUGCUGAUCCAGGGAGAGGUGGGCGGAACAGCUGGAUAUCUGCCUGGCUGAUUACUACGAAGCCCUGCCGUGCUGAACGUUCCCCAUCCCCAAGGAGAAGAGGAGGCCUAAGAGCAGGCAGCUCUGAAGGAAAGAGCAUUUAAGGACCUCAGCGUGAUGUGAUGUGUGGCAUGAUUUCCUUUCCCCAUCCAACCAGUUAGAUAAAUCACACCUUAUCCCAGGAGGAUGAGGAAGAAGGCACUGAAGGAGUGCAAAAGGAGUUUGCCCACUGUUUUGUCAAGAGAGUUGACAGCAUGGAGUUCAGAAAGCAGAUGCACCUUACAGGCUUCCAAAGGUGAUGAAACAACUGGAUUCAACUACUGUGUAAUCAACUGUGGUCAGGUAAAGGUUUCUUAGUAUGAGAGCCUGAGAAUAAUAAAGGUGCAUUGGGAAGUGGUUGCA